GAUGAGAGCGCAGUGGGCCAUGCAGAAGACCUUUAGAGCGCGACUGAGCGAGAGCGUGAGGCUUCUGAGACUGUUGGCUGAGGGUCAGACCUCGCUCUGGGAUAAACACAUCAAGCAACAUGUUCUGGAGUGAGUAGCUGUGCUAGAUGACUGAAAUGGUAUCAGUGGAGAGCCAGAGGCCUGAGUGGGGGCCUGGGUUGUGCUUAAAGAGGGCACUGGAGCACAGCUAUUAUGCCCUGCUACUGGAUCGGUCCUCAGUAGGGAAGACGUCAUCGCUCCUGAUGGAUCUGUUAGAGCUUGUGAUGCCGUUCAUGUAAACCCCCUCACAGGCCUCAUUCAACCCAACUCUAAUGCCCAUAUGUUACUGGCCAGUGGACACAGCAUGCCAGUUCCCCCGGACUUCUUCCUGCAC